CCAUGCCAGCAGUGUUGGUGACUGCUCUCUCCCUGUUUCCUAGGGUCCAUCACCUCCAUCCGCUCCCAGCCCGUGGGAACGUGUUCCUCUCUGAGAGUCCCAACAGAGUCCCUCCAGCUGGCAGUCCGCUCUCCCAACCACGAAGGCCGCCACCGCUGGAAGAUCUUUCCCCCCCCACGUCACACCUCGAUCUCCUACUCUCAACAAGCUGCUGUGCAGACAGGAGGCCAUUCAGACGGACUCCGUGGACGGGCAGACUCCAGACCGCAGGGACAGCCUGCAAGCAGAGCCUGGAGAGACGCUACCAUCAGCCACGCAGCCCCAGAGCACCUUCACCCCCAGCCCGCUCCAUCCCUCGGCUGCCUCCCUCCCGGGCACCCCCCCAAGCUCCCCCCCGUCCUCCCCGCAUCGGCACCCCAGCGCACUCACGCGGAAGCACACCUGCGGCCAGCACGGCGUCCCCAGCCGGCCGCCCAGCCCCGGCGGCAGCCCUCCCAACCCUGAGGGCUGCCUCUUCGAGUCCUCCGACCUGGCUGACGAGGAGGUUUGCCACAUCAACAGCUCGGCCAAAGACUGGGGAGGGGAGCACUCGGAUGCUGGGAGCCGCUCGACUUCGCCGUUCAUCUCCCCGGCCCCGUCUCCGGUGCCCCUCAAGAACUGCAGCACAACGAGCCUCUCCAGGGGCAGCAGCAAGGAGAAGGACUUGAAGAAGUUUUACAGCAUCGAUACGAAGGGCUUUCUCAACAAGCCCAGCUGGGCAGAUGACCAAAGGCGGCACUCCAUCGAGAUCUGCCCCUCCAUCAGCGACAGGGACUGUAGCUUUGAGGACCCUGCCGAGGAAAAGCAGCGGUCCCCUGUCCACAUCCAGACGGAGUCCGAGUACAUCCACGGAGCCCGGAGGAAGAAGAAGAUGAGCCCACCCUGCAUUUCUAUAGAUCCUCCCAUGGAGGACGACGGCGGGGCGGCCUCACGCACCAAACCCUCCGAGAACAGCAUGCUGCGGCGAAGGACCCCAUCCUGUGAGUUCCCGGCUUACAGAGAGUCCCUGGAGCUCGCGGAGAGCCAGCCCGGGGAGCCGGCCUCCAAAGCGGAGCGCCGGGGCCAGCCCCCAUGCCGCGGGGAGCACCUGACCAUCCCCAACUUCUCCUUCGAGCAGUUGGACGGCGGCUCCAUGAGCAGCCUCUCGGAUCUCCUCCUGGACAGCGGUCAGUCCACACCGGCCUCCGUGGACUCCCGGCCGGAUGAUGCUGCCUCCGAACUGAAAAAGCCGGAUCACUUAAAAACUCAGUGGAACAACGCCGAGAAAUGCAAUGAGCUCCUGGGCAUUGCUAAGAGCCCCCUCCAGAAGCAGGACUUGGUCCCCGUGACUGUUGCAACAGAAGAAGACGUAGAUGACCCAGUAUAGCUUUCUGGGAGGGGGGAGCGGGGGGGUCUCAAGGGCUUGACACCAAUGUGGGUUUCCAAACCGAAGGGACUGAGCGGCCACAGGUACGUGGGUGGCUGCUCUGUCGGGGUUUUUUUCCUUUUGCGCAGUCACUUGUUCUUAAGCGCUGUGGAGGUUUGCAAAAAAAAAACACACACACACACACACACAAAAAAACCAAACAAAAAAAAAAAAUUAGAAAGAAAAAGAAACCAAACAAACGGCUGGACGAAACGGUGACAGGUUUGGGGUGGGGGGAGCGGAUUUGCAAAGUGGUUUGGGGGUUUCUUUUCUACAGGGAAGGUGGAGUUGAUUCGGGGGGUUGCUUCGUUCCUCCCACCCCGCUCCGUGGCCUCAAUCACAUUGAUUCGGGUUCGAGGUGGUGGCGGUUGGGAUUUGGGGGUUUCUCUUUGGGUUUUGUUGUUUUGUUGGUUUUGUUUUUUUAAAGAUGCUCAACUUUUAACAAGGCACCUUUUAGAGAUGUCACAUUACGCGGGAGUGCCCAGGAGAUGGGAGCUGUACAUUGUCUGUAUAUCAGCAGUUAUAUAAAUAGAAAUAAUGUAUUUGUGAGAUACAAAACAAGGAAAAAAAGACAAAAAAAAAAUAUACCCACAAAAACUCUCUCUUCAUAAUGCACAUAUUUUUAUAGAGAAAUGAUACUGGUUUUUGCAUUACAUGUGACUCCGCAACUGGGUGGUGUUUCCUUGGGUUUUAUGUGGAACUAAUUAUUAUGGCCAUUCAUUUUCCAAAUGUUUCUCUUCUUUCUUCAGUUUCAUUUUUUUCCUCUCCUUCCCUCCACCAUCAUCCCACCAGCUUCUUUUCACAGCUGAUGCUUUAGACGUCUCUCUCAUUUUUCUUUUGUACUUUAGAGGUUGUCCUAACUACAGAAAAAAAAACCAAAUCACUACUGAAUUGUAGCCAGUGCAAUAAUAAGUUAUUCAUUCUUCUUGUCUGUACCACUGUCCUGUUGCUUUAUUUUUUUUCCUUUUUUUAACUGAAAUUCAGGUUAAAUGUCGCAAUAAUCUGAACUAACGUGCACAAACAUGGUUUCUUGUGUUACAAAGAAAAAAAAAGAUGAAAAAAAGGAAAAAGUUAAAUUUACAGAGAUAAAAAACAAAACAAAUAAAUAGUAAAUUAUUUAAGAAAUGUAUUUUGUUUACUGCAGUUCAAAGUAAAUUAUUGAUACAGUAUGUAAAGGUAUAAAGAGCUGUCUUAGGUGAUGUUCUUUGUGAGCAUUUAAGCUGAUGAUUUGUCCUCCUCAUAGCAGAAUGCCUUCGAAACCUCGGUGGUGGCCAUAACCCUCCCAUUUGCACUCUUUCUGUCGGUCUUCCCUCCACACCCCCUGCACCCACACGUGGACGUGUUCGCCUCCCAAGGCCCUUCCCUCGCCAGCUCCGACUGAGAAGCCUCUAGAGGAAUUCAGGUCACCUCUUAACACCACUUUUUUAUUUUGCAGUUUUUGGGGUUGAUUUUUUUUUCUUUUUUAGCCUCCGGUCCCUGCCCCCUCCCCACCCCUCAUCCAGGCCCUCUCACCGUGGGACAGCUUCACCGUGGAAAGCUGAUGUUAAAUAAGAGCAGCAACGAGUCCGUCGCGUGGACGCGCCAUCGGCCCGAGCGCCGGGCAGCGGCAGCAAAAAGACAUACAGGGGAAAAAAAAAAAUUAAAACAAUCGUUUUUGUUUGGUUCGUUCCAUGCCGCCUCAUAUUUAUGCAUUCACGUAUAUCUUCUGUUAUUUAUGCAUUCAUUACUCAAAAGGAAAUGUAUCUUGUUUCACAUGUAUUAAACUGUAUAAACUGGAAGCGUGGCCUGACUUUGUGCCCCAGGGCGAGGUGUAGCCGGGAUGCCGAGCCCUGCUCCAGCGCAUCGCGUCCAGCCGGCAGCUCCCGCUGCCCGCAGCCCAGCCCGAAGGUCUCCAUCCCGCUCCCAGAGCUC
ensembl:lncRNA